CCCUUAGAUGUUCUGGGCCGCACGCGCGCUACACUGAUGCAUUCAACGAGUUUCUUCCUGGUCCGAGAGGAAUGGGUAACCUUUUGAAAGUGCAUCGUGAUAGGGAUAGACUAUUGCAAUUAUUGGUCUUCAACGAGGAAUUCCUAGUAGACGUAGUUCAUCAGACUGCAUCGAUUACGUCCCUGCCCUUUGUACACACCGCCCGUCGCUCCUACCGAUUGAAUGCUCAGGUGAGCCAUUCGGACUUUCAUCAUGCUGGUUUCCAGUUUUGAUGAAGGAAAGUCUAGCGAACCUUAUCAUUUAGAGGAAGGAGAAGUCGUAACA
rnacentral:rRNA from 1 species